CAUCAUGAAAAAGCAUUGGGAACUACAGAUGCCUUUAAACUGAGAGGACUAGUCAGCAGGGAUCCAGGAUUUCAAAUCUCUGCCAGGAAGUGGCUUCAGACGCUUGGAGCCUGAAGAUGGAAAAUCCUAACCCUUGGUGUUGCUUCAGGUUCCAGCAAGUAGGAACAGAGUUCCCAUAAAAUGAAGCUAAGGUCACCAGCACAGUGCAAUGGGUUAAACUGACGUGACCGGAAUUGGACAGCAAGCGCUGCCAGUCCCAUCUUGGAAACGAGGGUCCUCUGGGAGUAAAGAUACAUUGUACUUGAGGAAGCUGCUAAGAGUUACAGGAAAGGGAACUUCAAUAAGCCAAAGUGGCAAGGCUUUGACAAGGAGCAAGCCUGGGUGGAAGGUGGAUGACUUCAGAGGUAAGAGAAAUAGAGA